CACACGGGCACUCGUGCGCUGUGCAUGCACGACAGGCGCAAGACAUGCGCACAGUGCGCACAUUCCAUCGCGUGCGGUGUGGUGGAUAGGCCAGCGUGCACGUCUUGUCGUGCAUAGGUUGGAACCAUCUGCGCGCGUCAAAUCACACGUGGACAGCCAAGCGCUACACACUAUGUGCAUGCCAUUCACGCAAGCAAGCUCCUGCACACGGUAGGGUAAACCGGUGGCUGCAGGCUAGGUCUACAACACACGCCUAGUGGGUGAGGCCACUUGAGUAGCGUGCCAUCACUUGAGGUGUUGUCGCCGAUGGAGGAGGUCUUUUUCCUCUAUUUUUCUUACCAAACAUCUUUUUACUCUCUCUCUUCAUUGAAUUUCUCCAUUUUGUGCAAAUCUAAUGGCCCUUAGUUUUUAUAAAUAGUGACCCUUCCUUCCCUUUUCUCCUCACUUCCAUUCUUCCACCUUUCAAAAGUUAAAGAAAGAGUGAGAAAGAGAGAGAGAGAAAGAGAGUGAUCUAGAGAGAGAAUGAGAAGAAAAAACAGUGUAGAAAGAAU
rnacentral:lncRNA from 1 species